rnacentral:rRNA from 1 species
UACGUAGGGGGCAAGCGUUGUCCGGAAUCAUUGGGCGUAAAGAGCGUGUAGGCGGCUCGGUAAGUCCGCUGUGAAAGUCCAGGGCUCAACCCUGGAAUGCCGGUGGAAACUGUCGAGCUAGAGUCCGGAAGAGGCGAGUGGAAUUCCUGGUGUAGCGGUGAAAUGCGCAGAUAUCAGGAGGAACACCAAUGGCGAAGGCAGGUCUCUGGGCCGAUACUGACGCUGAGGAGCGAAAGCGUGGGGAGCGAACAGG